GAUGAACGCUGGCGGCGUGCUUAACACAUGCAAGUCGAACGGAAAGGCCCUGCUUUUGUGGGGUGCUCGAGUGGCGAACGGGUGAGUAACACGUGUGUAACCUGCCCUUGACUUUGGGAUAACUUCAGGAAACUGGGGCUAAUACCGGAUAGGAGCUCCUGCAGCACGGGGGGGGUUGGAAAGUUUCGGCGGUUGGGGAUGGACUCGCGGCUUAUCAGCUUGUUUGUGGGGUAGUGGCUUACCAAGGCUUUGACGGGUAGCCGGCCUGAGAGGGUGACCGGCCACAUUGGGACUGAGAGACGGCCCAGACUCCUACGGGAGGCAGCAGUGGGGAAUAUUGCGCAAUGGGCGGAAGCCUGAUGCAGCAACGCCGCGUGCGGGAUGACGGCCUUCGGGUUGUAAACCGCUUUCGCCUGUGACGAAGCGUGAGUGACGGUAAUGGGUAAAGAAGCACCGGCUAACUACGUG
rnacentral:rRNA from 1 species